rnacentral:rRNA from 1 species
UACGAAGGGGGCUAGCGUUGUUCGGAAUUACUGGGCGUAAAGGGCGCGUAGGCGGCGUGUCAAGUCAGGCGUGAAAGCCCCGGGCUCAACCUGGGAACCGCGCUUGAGACUGGCAUGCUCGAGUUCGGGAGAGGAUGGUGGAAUUCCCAGUGUAGAGGUGAAAUUCGCAGAUAUCAGGAGGAACACCAAUGGCGAAGGCAGCUCGCUGGGACGUAACUGACGCUGAGGAGCGAAAGCAUGGGGAGCGAACAGG